rnacentral:snRNA from 1 species
GUGCUUGCUUCUGUAGCACAAAUACUAAAAUUGGAACGAUGCAGAAAAGACUAGCAUGGCCCCGGCACAAGGAUGACCCCUUUGCGUGGACUUGGCACCUUGU